rnacentral:rRNA from 1 species
GAUGAACGCUGGCGGCGUGCCUAAUACAUGCAAGUCGAGCGAACGGACGAGAAGCUUGCUUCUCUGAUGUUAGCGGCGGACGGGUGAGUAGCACGUGGAUAACCUACCUAUAAGACUGGGAUAACUUCGGGAAACCGGAGCUAAUACCGGAUAAUAUUUUGAACCGCAUGGUUCAAAAGUGAAAGACGGUCUUGCUGUCACUUAUAGAUGGAUCCGCGCUGCAUUAGCUAGUUGGUAAGGUAACGGCUUACCAAGGCAACGAUGCAUAGCCGACCUGAGGGGGUGAUCGGCCACACUGGAACUGAGACACGGUCCAGACUCCUACGGGAGGCAGCAGUAGGGAAUCUUCCGCAAUGGGCGAAAGCCUGACGGAGCAACGCCGCGUGAGUGAUGAAGGUCUUCGGAUCGUAAAACUCUGUUAUUAGGGAAGAACAUAUGUGUAAGUAACUGUGCACAUCUUGACGGUACCUAAUCAGAAAGCCACGGCUAACUACGUG